rnacentral:sRNA from 1 species
UGUACAUAGACUCGGCUCUCUCAAGGGUGGUCGGCUCACCUCGCUUUACCCUAUCUAUAGGGAAGGGGGUGAGAAUAUGACGGUAUAUGAGGCAAUUUCAUUAAUGAUAGCUUUUGGCAUGCUGAUAAUUGCCCUACUGUCCUUCCCUAGACGGAAAUAGACCUCCCUUGAGCUAACGACCCUGGGAAGUCCAUUUCUUCAGUAAGUCCUUUUGAGCCACCCCUUUGAAGGGAUAGUCUAUUGUACACAAACCGUAAGAUGUUACCGCAUCUUACG